rnacentral:rRNA from 1 species
GAUGAACGCUGGCGGCGUGCCUAAUACAUGCAAGUCGAGCGAACAGACGAGGAGCUUGCUCCUCUGACGUUAGCGGCGGACGGGUGAGUAACACGUGGAUAACCUACCUAUAAGACUGGGAUAACUUCGGGAAACCGGAGCUAAUACCGGAUAAUAUAUUGAACCGCAUGGUUCAAUAGUGAAAGACGGUUUUGCUGUCACUUAUAGAUGGAUCCGCGCCGCAUUAGCUAGUUGGUAAGGUAACGGCUUACCAAGGCGACGAUGCGUAGCCGACCUGAGAGGGUGAUCGGCCACACUGGAACUGAGACACGGUCCAGACUCCUACGGGAGGCAGCAGUAGGGAAUCUUCCGCAAUGGGCGAAAGCUUGGCGGAGCAACGCCGCGUGAGUGAUGAAGGUCUUCGGCUCGUAAAACUCUGUUAUUAGGGAAGAACAAAUGUGUAAGUAACUAUGCACGUCUUGACGGUACCUAAUCAGAAAGCCACGGCUAACUACGUG